CCUACGGGAGACAGCAGUGGGGAAUAUUUGGCAAUGGCCGGAAGGCUGAACCAGCCAAGCCGCGUGAAGGACGAAGGUUCCAAGCAUUGUAAACUUCUUUUGUCAAGGGACAAAAUCAGGCUCUAGAGCCUGACAGAGGGUCCUUGAAGAAAAAGCAUCGGCUAACUCCGUGCCAGCAGCCGCGGUACUACGGAGGAUGCGACCGUUAUCCGGAUUUAUUGGGUUAAAAGGGUGCGUAGGCGGACUGUUAAGUCAGUGGUAAAAGCCCGGGGCUCAACCCCGGCGAGCCGUUGAAACUGGCUGUCUUGAGAUGUCGAGGGGUAUGCGGAAUGCGCAGUGUAGCGGUGAAAUGCUUAGAUAUUGCGCAGAACUCCGAUUGCGAAGGCAGCAUACCGGCGGCGAUCUGACGCUGAGGCACGAAAGCGUGGGUAUCGAACAGGAUUAGAUACCCCGGUAGUC
rnacentral:rRNA from 1 species